rnacentral:siRNA from 1 species
AACAUAUUGCUUCCAUGGUGGUUU